rnacentral:pre_miRNA from 3 species
UCUUAUGAAUGAGCAAAGAAAGUGGUUUCUUGAGAUGGAAUCUACCCUGUAAAGAUUCUGUGAA